AUGGUGCAAGGUGAGGAGGCGAGCUGCUCGUGGAGGAUGGCGAGCGCCGCCCACGACCACCACGAGAGGGCGGUGCUGCACCUCAACCACCAAGCGGCGCUCGCCUACCAUGGCGGGCUCCAGCUCCAACCCCAUCACCACGCCUCCGCCGCGCCGCCUGCUGCCAGCUUCCUGGACUUCCAGCCCGCGGCCGCGGCCGCCGCCUACUUCGGGGAGCUGGAGGAGGCCCUCAUCCAUGGCGCCAACGCCGGCGUCGGCGUCGUCGACCACCACCUCCACCACCCGCACCCCGGCGGAAUGAUCGCAGGCGACGCGCAAGCCAAGUGUAAGCUACCGGCAGCGGCAGGAGGAGGAGGGGGAGGAGGGUACCUGGCGGGCGCGGGCAGGCCCCCCACGCUGGAGAUCUUCCCUUCGUGGCCAAUGCCGCACCCACAGCAGCUGCACAGUGCUGGGAAUUCGCAGUCAGUCGGGAGCACCACUGACUCGAGCUCAGCCCGGAACACAAUGGCGCAGAUGGAGCUGGUGUCCCCGGGCCCGGCCGGCAGCGUCAGGCCCUCCCCCUCCUCCACCACCUCCGAGCAGCAGCAGCGGCGGCAGGAGGUGAUGAUGGUGACCACUGAUGAUUACAGCUACAAGCCAGACCUCCCUCCGCCUGCCGCCGCUGGCCUCGCCGCUGCCGCGCCAAGCUUUCAGCAGCCGCACCACCAGGGCCAGCACCAGCAGCUGCAGCUGCACGGAGGAGGAGACCAUGACAAGAGGAAACAUGGAUCCACGAGGAAAGACGGCAAGUUGGUAGAUUCCAAGACUGAAAGGCGAUUAGCGCAGAACAGGGAGGCCGCAAAGAAGAGCAGGCUGAGGAAGAAGGCUUAUGUGCAGAAUCUGGAGACCAGCAGGGUCAGGCUUCAGCAGAUGGAGCAAGAGCUCCAGAGAGCACGGUCACAGGGGAUAUUUCUCGGAGGGGGCGGCGCAGGCGGUGACAUGAGUCCUGGGGCCGCCAUGUUCGACAUGGAGUACGCGCGGUGGCUGGACGACGACGGCAAGCGGCUGGCGGAGCUCCGGGGCGGCCUGCAGGCGCACCUGGCCGACAGCAACCUGGGCGCCGUGGUGGAGGAGUGCAUGCAGCACUACGACGAGCUGUUCCAGCUCAAGGCGGAGCUCGCGCGCGCCGACGUCUUCCACCUCCUCACCGGCGCCUGGGCCACCCCCGCCGAGCGCUGCUUCUUCUGGAUGGGCGGCUUCCGGCCGUCCGAGCUCCUCAAGAUCCUGAUCGGGCAGCUGGAUCCGCUGACGGAGCAGCAGAUGAUGGGGAUCUGCGGCCUGCAGCACUCGUCGGAGCAGGCGGAGGAGGCGCUCGCGCAGGGGCUGCAGCAGCUGCACCAGUCGCUCGCCGACACCGUCGCCGCCGGCACGCUCAACGACGGCACCCCCGGCCCCAACUACAUGGCCAUCAUGGCCAUCGCGCUCGAGAAGCUCGCCAGCCUCGAGAGCUUCUACCAGCAGGCUGACAAUCUGAGGCAGCAAACGUUGCAUCAGACGCGCCGGAUUCUAACAACCCGGCAGGCGGCCCGGUGUUUCCUCUCCAUUGGGGAGUACUACCGCCGGCUCCGAGCACUCAGCAGUCUCUGGGCUUCCCGUCCUCGCGAGAACUUCAUCGGGACUGAGAGCCUUAGCCCAACAGGAACGGAGCUACAAGGAAUGCAGCACCACCACCAACCGCAACAGAAUCAGUUCUCCGGAUUUUGA
rnacentral:rRNA from 1 species